GAUGAACGCUGGCGGCGUGCCUAAUACAUGCAAGUUGAGCGAACAGACGAGGAGCUUGCUCCUCUGACGUUAGCGGCGGACGGGUGAGUAACACGUGGAUAACCUACCUAUAAGACUGGGAUAACUUCGGGAAACCGGAGCUAAUACCGGAUAAUAUAUUGAACCGCAUGGUUCAAUAGUGAAAGACGGUUUUGCUGUCACUUAUAGAUGGAUCCGUGCCGCAUUAGCUAGUUGGUAAGGUAACGGCUUACCAAGGCAACGAUGCGUAGCCGACCUGAGAGGGUGAUCGGCCACACUGGAACUGAGACACGGUCCAGACUCCUACGGGAGGCAGCAGUAGGGAAUCUUCCGCAAUGGGCGAAAGCCUGACGGAGCAACGCCGCGUGAGUGAUGAAGGUCUUCGGAUCGUAAAACUCUGUUAUUAGGGAAGAACAAAUGUGUAAGUAACUAUGCACGUCUUGACGGUACCUAAUCAGAAAGCCACGGCUAACUACGUG
rnacentral:rRNA from 1 species